rnacentral:lncRNA from 1 species
AUGGAGCAAGCACCUCCCCUGAGCUUGGGUGAGAGCAGCUCUCAGGCUUCACCUGCCUUGUGCCUGUCCUGCAGGCUUCAGCUGGGGGGGGGGGGGGGGGGGCUUUGCCAAACAAGUCGAGGCCAUAAGCGAAUGAGGGACUGCAGUGCUCACUUGGGCUCCUCAUGUCCCUCACAGUGCUGGAGGCAGCUCUGCACUGACCGAGCUCUGCACUGGCCACUGGCAGGGGGACCGUGGCCCAGCCUGGUGCACCAGCAGGGCAGCUGGCUGUGGGGGCUGACCACUGCUCUGGUCCCUGCUGUGGCAUGGGGAAGGCAUUGCCCAGCUUCCCAUUAACACCAUGUCUGCUAAUAUGCCAUCUGUAUGACUCAUUUUGCCCGCUGUUUGUAAAUAUUGAUCAGGUUUUAAAAGUAAUGUGCUUGUUUGUUUGUUUGACAGAAGACCCAGACCAAUAAAUCUACAGACCUCUCUAGCCA